CAGCUGGCAACAAGGUAUUUAACCCCAACUGAUGCAAUGAGUAGCUUCUCAUUUCUUAAACAACCAUUUCAAAAGACACAUCCCGUGAUCGUGGAAAAGAUGUUAGUCUUUCCAAUGCAUUAUUAAAAACUGGAAGGAUAGUGGGGAACCACCAGUGAUGGGUGCAUCAGGGUAAGAAGAGAGGCAGAUGAAGUGACGCACACAUCAUGCCUAGUGCCUACUGUACAAGCCAGUGGGGGCAGUGCUAUGAUCUGGGGUUGCUGCAGUUGGUCAGGUCUAGGUUCAGCAACAUUAUGUGCCCAAAGAAUGAGGUCAGCGGACUACCUGAAUUUACUGGAUGACCAGGUUAUUUCAACAAUGGAUUUUUUUCUUCCCUCAUGGCACUUGCAUAUUCCAAGAUGACAAUGCCUGGAUGUAUCGGGCUCAAAUUGUGAAAGAAUGGUUCAGGGAGAAUGAAACAUCAUUUUCACAUAUGGAUUGGCCACCACAGAUUCCAGACCUUAACCCCAUUGAUAAUCUUUGGGAUGUGCAGGAGAUGGCUUUGCACUGUGGUCCAACUCUCCCAUCAUUAAUACAAGAUCUUGGUGGAAAAAUUUAUGUAACACUGGAUGGAAAUAAAUCUUGUGACAUUGCAGAAGCUUAUUGAAGCAAUACCACAGCGAAUGCAUGCUGUAAGCGAAGCUAAAGCCUGUCCAACCUUUUUUAUUGGUGGCGACUUUUUUCUUGGCCAGGCAGUGUAUUUAGAAGUAAUACAAGUAAUAUUUUUUUGGUGAUGAGGCUGAUUCAUAAGGAAGCAUUAUACCAACUUUUUUAAAAAUACAAUGAACAUUCAAUGCAACAUGACCCCUACAUCAAGGGUCGAAUUUACAUUUCAAGAACCUUUAGGUCCAAAAUUGUAAUGUGACCCCUGCCCGCCUAAAUAAUCUGCAGGUACGCAUACAUAGUGAGUUUGAUGAAUUUACUUACUGGAGGACAUUGCAGGCAUAAACAUGUCCAAACAUCAUGUAUUGAUAUUUGAUAACUGCCUAUAUUUAUAUGUAUGUUUGCACAUGUUUGUGCUUGCCUUGUGUUUAAAUCUAUGAGUAUAGUGGCUGUAUGCAGCUGUGUAAAUACAUACAGGGUUAAAGGGUUGCUCUGCUGUAUUGGUUAUGAUGUCAGAAGUAGUUUGGCCCGGUUGCCCGGUUCCCCAGUAAUGGGGCAAACUUUGUAUCAGUGAUUUGCCUCCUUACCUCGAUCCCCAGUGGGCUCUGACGCUCCCUGGUGGUCCAACGACACACUUCUCACUUCUGCAGAGCUGCUAAAGAAGGGGUCAAGACUUAAUGUAUUCUCCAAUUGGUAAAUUAUAAAUCGCUAUGUUUUUAAUUUAGUUUUUAUAUAAUACCGAUAUAAUUAUAAUAUUUUAUUAAGCUUAGAAUACUACCUCCUUAUUUGGUUAAACAGCACUAGAGGCCCUUUAUUAAUGCUAUAUCUCAGCAGUCAGCAGGAUUAGGGCAUCAAUUUUUCAAGUGAAAUGGUUACUCUUAUGACCAUGACCACUUCAGUGAUUUGAAGUAGUCACGGUGCCUGGAUUCUGUAUGUGCACUAUGAAAUGCUACACAUUCAGAUUUCAAGACCUCUGCAACCAUUAGCCAGCCCGGAACAAGACUGUUAAUUCUGUGCAAGUUGGAUGUCUGAAGUCCGUACACACAGAAUGCUGGCCACAGAUGUCUAAUAACGACAUGGCCCUACCUCUGUACUGCCUAUGUUCUCCUCUCAUCCCAUCCUUCCCCUACAACAAAGGUUCGCAACCCAGUCCUCAAGUACCCCCUAACAGUCCAGGAUAUAGAGAUUAGCCUGUUGUGUCUAAAGUGUUUUUUUUCUACUUUCUAAAAACACCGUACACACAACUGGUUAAUUCCUAAUUCUUGGACUGUUGGGGGGUACUUGUGGACUGGGUUGGGGACCACUGCCCUACAACAAAGAGGGAGUGAUAGCAGGAGAGGAGAACUUGGCUUCGACAUUAGAAUGGUGGUAAAAUUAUAUAUAUUUUUUUUAAGUUUUAUGGCGGGAAAGAGGGAUGGACCAGCAAAUCAAGGGCUACUCUGCUCUAACCAAAACAGUGUUUUAUGAAAACACAGUUUUUUUGUUUGAGUAACUCUAAUAGUAGAAAAGUGGUACCUUUACCUUAACCUAGAAUUGCUUGUUUUGCAUUUACAUGUACAAGCUUUACAAGAUUUCUCUCUGUGAGAGCUCUCAUUGUAAUCAAUAUAUUUUUAUAUAUCAGACCCUGUGUUGUUUUACACAAAUGGCCAUUUCCUGGGCUUUUACGCAAUAAAACAUUUAUUAAGUAAGAUUAUGUGUAAAAUAAGAUUAUCUUUUUUUUUUUUCUGAAAGAACACUAUUUUGUCCAACCCUGAUUGUUUUAUUUAUUAUGUAUUUCUUGUUUGGCGUUUUA
rnacentral:lncRNA from 1 species